rnacentral:ncRNA from 1 species
UCUCCCGCUAUACCUCCCUGAGCGGGUGCCUUGAGCAAGCAAGGCGUUUUGGCCCCCGGCACCCCCUCGCCGGGGGUUUUUUAU